AACAAAUAUUAAAGGCAAUGCCUGCCCAGUGAAUAAUUUAACGGCCGCGGUACCCUAACCGUGCAAAGGUAGCAUAAUCAUUUGUCUAUUAACUGUAGACCUGUAUGAAAGGCAAAAUGAGGGUUUAACUGUCUCUUAUAAUAAAUCUAUUAAACUGAUCUCUCAGUAAAAAAGCUGGGAUACCACCACAAGACCAGAAGACCCUGUGAAGCUUUAACUAAACUAUUAAACCAAAUAAUAACUACUUUAGGUUGGGGCGACCUUGGAAAUAAAAAAAACUUCCAACAAACACACUAAUUUUACCCAGGCCAACAAGCCAAUCAAUGACCCAGUAAACUGAUAAAUGAACAAAGUUACUCCAGGGAUAACAGCGCUAUCUUCUUCAAGAGCCCAUAUCAAAAAGAAGGUUUACGACCUCGAUGUUGGAUCAGGACACCCCAAUGGUGCAACCGCUAUUAAAGGUUCGUUUGUUCAACGAUUAAUGUC
rnacentral:rRNA from 1 species